rnacentral:lncRNA from 1 species
UGGUAUGAAUUGCAGGCAGGUGAAUUCUCUUUGUUUUCUAGGUGCUGUGUUUGGGCUACAUCUUUAGCCUUUUGUUCCUCUGGUAGUUUCUUCUGUUCUUGCUCCUGCCUCUUCAUCUCUGCUAGCAACUGCUCUUCCUUUUCUUUUUUCUCCAUCUCCUUCUGGAGCUGUUCUUUAGCAGCCAACACUUCCUUCUGCAGGCGAGCUGCCUUCUCUUGCUGUUCACGUUGCUUUUCUGCCUGAAUCCUCUCCUCCUCCUUCUUCCUCUCCUGCUCCUUCUUCCUCUCCUGCUCUCUCUCUGCAGCCAACUGUUUUUCUCUCUCCUGUUCUGCCUGCCUCUGCUCAGCAAUUUUCCUGGCACGUUCCUGCUCCUCUUCUUUCUUCUUCUGCAUUAGCUCUUUGUGCCGACGUUCCUCUUCCUCCUGCUGCAGUGCUUUUUGUUUUCUGGCCUCUUCAUCCUGCCUGCGCCGGGCCUCCGCUUCUUCCAUUUUCUUGGCAGCUGCUCUCUUUUUGAUCUUCUCUUCUGCCAGUCUUUCUUCCCGCGCCUUCUCUGUCUUCUCAUCAAACAGAGCUAGCUUCUGCUCAAUGCGCCUUUUCCUCUCUUCUUCCAAUUGCUCUGCCCGUUCCCGAGCUUGCAACACUUUACGCAGGCGUUCUUCACGCCUCAACUUUGCCUCUUCUUGUCGCCGUUUCUUUUCUUCCUCCACUUUUUGUUUUCUCAACUGCUCAGCCUCUUCCUUCUUUCUCAGAGCCUGCAGUUUUUGUCUCUCCUUUUCCUUGGGGUCAUGUUGGAGAGGCGUGUUGUACUUGAUAAAAGACUUUAUUACUCCAUUUCUCCC